ACGAACGCUGGCGGCGUGCCUAACACAUGCAAGUCGUACGAGAAAGGGGCUUCGGCCCUGAGUAGAGUGGCGCACGGGUGAGUAACGCGUGGGUAAUCUACCCUUGGAUUUGGGAUAACUCUGCGAAAGUGGAGCUAAUACCGGAUAGUCUGGCUUUAAAUAAGAAGUCGGUAAAGGAUGCCUCUGCAUAUGCAUUCGUCCGAGGAUGAGCCCGCGUCUCAUUAGCUAGUUGGUAGGGUAAUGGCCUACCAAGGCAACGAUGAGUAGCUGGUCUGAGAGGAUGAUCAGCCACACUGGAACUGAAACACGGUCCAGACUCCUAC
rnacentral:rRNA from 1 species